AGACAGACAGGGGGGGUCACUGGAGGUCCCCAUUGGGGGGCACCCUCAGAACCCCCCAGCACACCCAGGUGGAUCCCAGUAUGAACCAGUACAGCCCAGCAUAACGCAGUACGGCUCAGUAUAGCCCAGUACAGCCCAGUACAACCGUGUAUAAACCAGUAUAACCCACUACAGGCCAGUAUAGCCCAGUACAACCGUGUAUAAACCAGUAUAGGUUUGGGGGCUCCUCAGGGGGGCUUUGGGAAGGGCCCAGGUGACAUUUUGGGGUUCCCCAGGUGAGUUUAGGGGUGCCCAGGUGAUAUUUGAGCUCUCCAGGCGACGUUUUGGGGUCCCAGGGAUGGAUUUUGGGGUCCCCAGGUGUAUUUUGGGGUCCCCAGGUGUAUUAUGGGAUGCCCAGGUGACACUUCGGGGUCCCCAGGUGAUAUUCUGGGAUGCCCAGGUGUAUUAUGGGAUGGCCAGGUGGCAUUUUAGGGUCCCCAGGUGCAUUAUGGGAUGCCCAGAUGCAUUAUGGGAUGCCCAGGUGAUAUUUCGGGGUCCCCAGGUGUAUUAUGGGAUGGCCAGGUGGCAUUUUAGGGUCCCCAGGUGCAUUAUGGGAUGCCCAGAUGCAUUAUGGGAUGCCCAGGUGAUAUUUCGGGGUCCCCAGGUGUAUUAUGGGAUGGCCAGGUGGCAUUUUAGGGUCCCCAGGUGCAUUAUGGGAUGGCCAGGUGGCAUUUUGGGGUCCCCAGGUGCAUUAUGGGAUGCCCAGAUGCAUUAUGGGAUGGCCAGGUGCAUUUCGGGGUCCCAGGGAUGGAUUUCGGGUUGCCCAGGUGUAUUAUGGGAUGCCCAGGUGA
rnacentral:lncRNA from 1 species